GCCUACGGGAGGCAGCAGUAGGGAAUCUUCCACAAUGGGCGAAAGCCUGAUGGAGCAACGCCGCGUGGGUGAAGAAGGUCUUCGGAUCGUAAAACCCUGUUGUUAGAGAAGAAAGUGCGUGAGAGUAACUGUUCACGUUUCGACGGUGUCUAACUAGAAAGCCACGGCUAACUACGUGCCAGCAGCCGCGGUAAUACGUAGGUGGCAAGCGUUAUCCGGAUUUAUUGGGCGUAAAGGGAACGCAGGCGGUCUUUUAAGUCUGAUGUGAAAGCCUUCGGCUUAACCGGAGUAGUGCAUUGGAAACU
rnacentral:rRNA from 1 species